GGGCUGUUAGCUCAGUUGGUAGAGCGCCACAUUCGCAUUGUGGAGGUCGCCGGUUCGAAUCCGGCACAGUCCA
rnacentral:tRNA from 1 species